CGACAUUCCCGUUCCUGUACGAUCGCCGAAGUUAAGCAACGUCGAGCCUGGUCAGUAUCUAGAUGGGUGACCGCUUGGUAAUACCAAGUACUGUAAG